AUCUGGGGAAGCUCUACUCGACCCUCUUCGCAUCGUUCCUCCUCUCCUCACCGUUGCACGAAGUUCUGAGUUGAGCUCGUGGCAUCGCCGUCGCAAAGGGUUCCUCCCCUCCUCACCUUCAUGAAUUGCUUCCCGUGGCACUGCCCUUGCUGAUUCAUAGUUUGCUGAGAGUUAUGGUGAAAGUGCUACAGGAGCCGUAGUUCACAGGACUCUGCGGUUAGUCCUUCAACAUCAGGACAAUAUAGUACAACUCUUUCAAGAUUGAAGCAAAAACUGAGUGAUUUUUGGUUGCAUGUGGUUCAGCGAUGGCCUGUGGUAUAUUUAUUCUCAAUAAUUUUUGUAAAACUAUUACAGUUAUAUACUGUUCUACUAUUUGUUCUCCCUUCAAAAUUGUUUUGAUAAUCAGGUUGUUAAUCUCAAGCUCCUUACUUGUUUUAAUAA